rnacentral:rRNA from 1 species
GAUGAACGCUGGCGGCGUGCCUAAUACAUGCAUGUCGAGCGAACAGACGAGGAGCUUGCUCCUCUGACGUUAGCGGCGGACGGGUGAGUAACACGUGGAUGACCUACCUAUAAGACUGGGAUAACUUCGGGAAACCGGAGCUAAUACCGGAUAAUAUAUUGAACCGCAUGGUUCAAUAGUGAAAGACGGUUUUGCUGUCACUUAUAGAUGGAUCCGCGCCGCAUUAGCUAGUUGGUAAGGUAACGGCUUACCAAGGCAACGAUGCGUAGCCGACCUGAGAGGGUGAUCGGCCACACUGGAACUGAGACACGGUCCAGACUCCUACGGGAGGCAGCAGUAGGGAAUCUUCCGCAAUGGGCGAAAGCCUGACGGAGCAACGCCGCGUGAGUGAUGAAGGUCUUCGGAUCGUAAAACUCUGUUAUUAGGGAAGAACAAAUGUGUAAGUAACUAUGCACGUCUUGACGGUACCUAAUCAGAAAGCCACGGCUAACUACGUG